GAUGAACGCUGGCGGCGUGCCUAAUACAUGCAAGUCGAGCGAACAGACGAGGAGCUUGCUCCUCUGACGUUAGCGGCGGACGGGUGAGUAACACGUGGAUAACCUACCUAUAAGACUGGGAUAACUUCGGGAAACCGGAGCUAAUACCGGAUAAUAUAUUGAACCGCAUGGUUCAAUAGUGAAAGACGGUUUUGCUGUCACUUAUAGAUGGAUCCGCGCCGCAUUAGCUAGUUGGUAAGGUAACGGCUUACCAAGGCAACGAUGCGUAGCCGACCUGAGAGGGUGAUCGGCCACACUGGAACUGAGACACGGUCCAGACUCCUACGGGAGGCAGCAGUAGGGAAUCUUCCGCAAUGGGCGAAAGCCUGACGGAGCAACGCCGCGUGAGUGAUGAAGGUCUUCGGAUCGUAAAACUCUGUUAUUAGGGAAGAACAAAUGUGUAAGUAACUAUGCACGUAUUGACGGUACCUAAUCAGAAAGCCACGGCUAACUACGU
rnacentral:rRNA from 1 species